rnacentral:rRNA from 1 species
CCUACGGGAGGCAGCAGUGAGGAAUAUUGGUCAAUGGACGAGAGUCUGAACCAGCCAAGUAGCGUGAAGGAUGACUGUCCUAGGGGUUGUAAACUUCGUUUAUAAAGGAAUAAAACGAGGCUCGUGUGUCUUCUUCCACGUACGUUAUGUAUAAGGAUCGGCUAAACACGUGCCAGCAGCGGAGGUAAUACGGAGGAUCCGAGCGUAGUCCGGAUUUGUUGGGUUUAAAGGGAGCGUAGGUGGAUUGUUAAGUCAGGUGUGAAAGUCUGCGGCUCAACCGUGAAAUGGCAGUUGAAACUGGCAGUCUUGAGUGCAGAAGAGGUGGGCGGAAUUCGUGGUGUAGCGGUGAAAUGCUUAGAUAUAACGAAGAACUCCGAUGGCGAAGGCAGCUCUCUGGACUGCAACUGACGCUGAUGCUCGAAAGUGUGGGUAUCAAACAGGAUUAGAUACCCGAGUAGUC